UUCGUUUUCAUUCCCGUGAUGAAACUUGCCUUCGUUUUUGGCAAUAAGACCUGUCUUCCUGUUAUAGUACACCAAUUGCCUGUAUCUCGUAAAAUGUUUUCAGCUCGCUCCCAACACACUAGCUAAUACCUAGCUUAUACCUAGUAUACUAGUAGUAGCUACCUACUGCUUAUGAUUACCAACUACCUCGGUGGUAGGCGUGCCGGUAACCAUGCAUACCGUAAUCCUUAUAGUUAGCAAGCAGACGCACAGUGACUUGACGAGGACCUUAAGAUUUAUACAUUAACAUAUACUAUAAGAUGUAACAAUGAUUUCUCUAUCUGAUAUAAAAUGUCGCCCAACAUUUUUUGUCUGCAGACGUGAAGAAUUUACUAGAGAAACACGAGAAGUUUGUUGAAGAAUUUCCAGACAACAGAGAUUACUGGUUUACUUCUGGAUUGAAAAUCAACUGGAAAAAUGUUGAAUAUACUUUGGAUGAUAUCGAGGAGCCACACGGCAGCAAGUGCUGGUUUGAGGAGGCAGUAAAAACAAUUGCUCCUUUUAUGUCUCACUGCGAUUUGGCUGUUAGAAGCCUCUCCCCUGAAGAUUACUUCUUACACAUGAAGCCUUACCUUAUGUGGACUUACCAGGUAAAUUCUCAUGAAUUAAUGUCAUAUUUAAAGUAAGGUGAAAUGGCUUGAUAAUCAUGACAAGGUAAUUUGUAAUUAGAGAUGCUCCCCCUUCCCACCAUAGGUUAUUAAAGUAAUUUCUAUUUACUAGUAUGGCCUAAUUUAUUCACAACUGAUUGUGCAUUUUUCCCCCCUUUUAAAAACAUUCAAUACCUAUUAUACAGUAUCUGUCUAUCCUUUUUACGUUUUCUUUAAACU